rnacentral:rRNA from 1 species
AUGCAGGAGGGGUCAGAUCUUAUGGAGCAUGUGAAUGCCUUUAAUCAGUUGGUCACGGAUCUAGCGCGUCUGGAUGUGAAGAUUGAGGACGAGGAUAAGGCACUACUUCUUCUUGUUUCAUUGCCACCGUCCUAUGAGCAUUUGGUCAUUACAUUGACACAUGGAAAGACAACCGUCAAUAAUGAGGAAGUCACUACAGCGUUGCUUGGACAUGAGUUGAGUAAGCAAAAGAAUGCUACGGAGGAGAGUACUCAAGGUUUGGGGUUGGUAGUUAAAGGUUAUCAGCUCAGAAAGGGACAAGAGGCGGAGAAGAAAAAGAAGAAGAAGGUGCAGUGCUACAGGUGCAAGGAUUGGGGACAUAUAAAGAGGGAAUGCCCAGAA